rnacentral:rRNA from 1 species
AUGGCUGCGCUGCCGCCACCUCCGCCGUCGCUGGAGCCGGAGAUCGGCCCCGACGGCCUCGCCCGAGACUCCCCCGUCCUGGCCUACACUGAGAAGGUCAUUGCGGAGGAGCAGCUGCAACUGAAGAAAUAUAUUCAGGAAAAUUAUUCCAAAAUUCGGGAUGUUGAGAAGGAGCUAGAGAAUCUGACUCUAGAAGUUAAACUGACAGCUGGACCAAAGAAAGCAGCACUCGAGCAUUUGAGGAAAAAGAUUGAGAUGUCAACUGAGAGAAUACGUUUGGCUAAGGUGAAAGAGGACGAGGCAAAAAAGGCCUGGGAAGCUGCUGCACAAGUUGUUAAAGAGGAAGAGGAGGCUAAGCAGAGGCUAUGUGAUGAUCUGAACCGGUUGGUUCAAGAGAGCGCGGCUUCACAAUAUUCGAGGUUAGAAGAGUUAAAGAAGCGUUUAGAAUGUCUAAAUCCCAUCAGGGCUUCUGUCGAUGUUUCUGGUAUCAACAUUGUACAGCAGGCUGCCACAAAUUCGGUACCUCAGCAACCCACUUCACAAAAUCUAGCGAAUGCAAUUGCCCCUGCAAGCAAUAUCCACAAGCCCGCCACCAGCGGAUCACAGCAACAAAGAACCGCUGAGGCGGAAAGGAAGCAGAGAUCAUCAAACUCGGGAGGAAGAGGGAGAGGCGGUGUGAUGGUCCUCCCCAAGGGAAGGGGAAGCUCUGGAUCAGGAUGGACAGGUGCUGGGUUUGAGACAUGA